GACGAACGCUGGCGGCGUGCUUAAUACAUGCAAGUCGAACGGAAAGGCCCUGCUCUUGUGGGGUGCUCGAGUGGCGAACGGGUGAGUAACACGUGAGUAACCUGCCCUUGACUUUGGGAUAACUUCAGGAAACUGGGGCUCAUACCGGAUAGGAGCUCCUGCUGCAUGGUGGGGGUUGGAAAGUUUCGGCGGUUGGGGAUGGACUCGCGGCUUAUCGGCUUGUUGGUGGGGUAGUGGCUUACCAAGGCUUCGACGGGUAGCCGGCCUGAGAGGGUGACCGGCGACAUUGGGACUGCGAGACGGCGCAGAAGCCUACGGGAGGCAGCAGUGGGGAGUAUUGCACAGUGGGCGGGAGCCUGAUGCGGCGACGCCGCGUGCGGGAUAACGGGCUUCGAGUUGUGAACCGCUUUCGCCGGUGACGAAGCGUGAGUGACGGUAAUGGGUAAGGAAGCACCGGCUAACUACGUG
rnacentral:rRNA from 1 species